AGAGUUUGAUCCUGGCUCAGAUUGAACGCUGGCGGCAUGCCUUACACAUGCAAGUCGAACGGUAACGCGGGGCAACCUGGCGACGAGUGGCGAACGGGUGAGUAAUGUAUCGGAACGUGCCCAGUAGUGGGGGAUAGCCCGGCGAAAGCCGGAUUAAUACCGCAUACGACCUACGGGUGAAAGGGGGGGAUCGCAAGACCUCUCGCUAUUGGAGCGGCCGAUAUCAGAUUAGGUAGUUGGUGGGGUAAAGGCCUACCAAGCCGACGAUCUGUAGCUGGUCUGAGAGGACGACCAGCCACACUGGGACUGAGACACGGCCCAGACUCCUACGGGAGGCAGCAGUGGGGAAUUUUGGACAAUGGGCGCAAGCCUGAUCCAGCCAUGCCGCGUGCGGGAAGAAGGCCUUCGGGUUGUAAACCGCUUUUGUCAGGGAAGAAAUCCUUUGGGCUAAUACCCCGGGGGGAUGACGGUACCUGAAGAAUAAGCACCGGCUAACUACGUGCCAGCAGCCGCGGUAAUACGUAGGGUGC
rnacentral:rRNA from 1 species